rnacentral:lncRNA from 1 species
AAAACUUUUAUGACAACAUAUACUAUAAUACUUUAUAUCAUCAUCCAUUGUUACAUCAUGUGUCAUAACUUUUGUGACAGCACUCACUGCAACAUCACAAUGACAUUACAUAGUCUGAUGUAUUGUAUCAUCAUUCAUCACUAUUUUGUAUGUUGAAACUGUUGUAAUGUCAUUACUAUGCUAUUAUGAUGUCACAUAUUGAUGAUGAUCUGGGAACUCAUCCAUUGUUAUGUCUUAUGACAGAACUUUUUUUUAUAUUAUUCAUUAUUAUAUUGUAAUUGUGUCAUGCUUAUCGUGAUCAUGAUGUCAUUCCAAUUUUGCAAUUUGUAGCAUCAACAACAACAAUCAGAACAACAAUCUGAACCAGUCUGUACUUACAACCCCAAUAUGCACCAUUCCCUGGGAUUUUUUAAUCUAGAGUAGCCACAGGGUUAAUACUAUGAAAUAUUUUUAAACAUUUUUUAACAAUAUGUAAACAACAAAAUAUAAAAUAAGUAGUCGGAUAUCUCACAGUGACAAUGCUUUACAGUUUAUUAAAUCAUGACAGUGUGCAUAGCUGUAAACACACUAUUGUGUCAUCUUUCAUAGCACCAACAAUACUCACAGUCCUAUCUCUAAGGACUCCCUGCUGUGAAAGCAAAGUUACAGAUUUCAGAAUAUCUUGGAUUAGGGAUGCUCAUCUUGUAUAAAUUUACAUCAUAAAAACAGAUAAUGAUUUUAUUAAAAUAAUAUUUGUCAUUUGAUCUGAGUUACACAGUGUAUUAGAGAAUUUGUGUGUGCGUGCAUGUGUGUGUGUGUAUGUGUGUUAUAUCUAUUUAUUUUGAUUAUAUAUGUUUAUAUAGUCAAACUUCUCUUAAAUGGAUUCCAGUUUAGCAGAUAUUCAUUUAUCUGGACAAUAUUAAAGCUUUUGGUGCAUUUUCACUCCUAUUUAAUGGACAGUCCCCUUAAGUGUGUAAUGGACAAUUUAUUUUGCCAUAUAAUAGAAACUUCAUUUCUCUUUAAUGGAGAAGACAUCAAUGAAACCACUCGUUGUUGAAAUGAAUAACUGUAGAUGACCAGAAGUGCAAGUGAAUUCCAAUAAACCUUGUACACCCUUAAAAAAGUGGCUUUGCAAUCAAAAAAUGCAUAUCAUUAAGCAACUUCAGUAAGACAUUUCUUAACUUUCUCAGCUAGCAUCAUGUGUAUGACAACACAUUCACUUGAUACACUUGCAUAGAAGUGAUUUUUAACAUUCCAAUGUUUUAGAUGCUUUAACAUUCAAUUGAAAAAAUUCUUGAUUCUUUUUGUCCAGUUUAAAAUAAGUACUACAGAAACAGAUAUGAAGAAAGAUAUAUAUUGAAAAAGAUAUGUACAGAUAUUCCUCACUUAAUGAACGAAUUCCAUUCUCACGUCUUUGUCAUAGAACGAAUUCGUCAGCAAGCGAGUAACUUGUUUGUAUAUAUUUAGAACAAGUU